rnacentral:rRNA from 1 species
GAUGAACGCUAGCGAUAGGCUUAACACAUGCAAGUCGAGGGGCAGCAUGGUCUUAGCUUGCUAAGACUGAUGGCGACCGGCGCACGGGUGCGUAACGCGUAUGCAACUUGCCUCACAGAGGGGGAUAACCCGUCGAAAGACGGACUAAUACCGCGUACACUCCACUUUGGGCAUCCAAUGUAGAGGAAAUGAAAUUCGCUGUGAGAUAGGCAUGCGUCCCAUUAGCUAGUUGGUGAGGUAACGGCUCACCAAGGCGACGAUGGGUAGGGGAACUGAGAGGUUGAACCCCCACACUGGUACUGAGACACGGACCAGACUCCUACGGGAGGCAGCAGUGAGGAAUAUUGGUCAAUGGGCGAGAGCCUGAACCAGCCAAGUCGCGUGAAGGAUGACUGUCUUAUGGAUUGUAAACUUCUUUUAUACGGGGAUAACAAGAGCCACGUGUGGCUCCCUGCAUGUACCGUAUGAAUAAGCAUCGGCUAACUCCGUGCCAGCAGCCGCGGUAAUACGGAGGAUGCGAGCGUUAUCCGGAUUUAUUGGGUUUAAAGGGUGCGUAGGCGGCCUGUUAAGUCAGCGGUGAAAUCUAGGAGCUUAACUCCUAAAUUGCCAUUGAUACUGGCGGGCUUGAGUGUAGAUGAGGUAGGCGGAAUGCGUGGUGUAGCGGUGGAAUGCAUAGAUAUCACGCAGAACUCCGAUUGCGAAGGCAGCUUACUAAGGUACAACUGACGCUGAAGCACGAAAGCGUGGGUAUCAAACAGG